rnacentral:misc_RNA from 1 species
AACGCACAUUGCGCCCUCUGGUAUUCCGGGGGGCAUGCCUGUUCGAGCGUCAUUACAACCCUCAAGCUCUGCUUGGUGUUGGGCGGUACCGCGCGCGGUACGCCUCAAACGUAGUGGCGGCGCCGCUCGGCUCCUAGCGUAGUAACAACUCUCGCUAUGGGGACCGGGCGGUUCGCCUGCCAGCAACCCACACUUCUAAAGGUUGACCUCGGAUCAGGUAGGGAUACCCGCUGAACUUAA